rnacentral:lncRNA from 1 species
GGAAGAGCUGGGCCUGGAGAGGCCGACUGGAGGAAGUCCAGGGCCUGGAGAGGAUGCAAAGCAGCAAACACUAGGCCUGGAAAGGCUGCCCUGAGGCAUGGGCUUGGCCUACAGAGGCCACUGGCAGGAGCUGGGCCCGCAGAGGCUCCCGAGAGGGAGGAGCAUUGCCCCAGGAGGCCACGGUGAGGAAGAGGUGGGCCUGGAGAGCCCACUGUGAGGUAGAGGCCGGGCCUGUAGAGGCCGCCGACAGGCAGGGAAUGGGCCUGUUGAGGCCACGAGAGGCAUAAGCUGGGCCUCAACAGGCCAGUGUGAGGCAGGAGCUGACACUUGGGCAGGUUGCAAGAGGCAUGAGUUGGGCCGAAAGAGGCCACCGUGAGGGAGGAGCUGAGCCUGUACAAGCUGCCAAAAGGCAGGAGCAGCUUUGGACUGGAGAGGCCGCAGACAGGGAAGAGCUGGGUGUGGAGAGUCUGCUGUGAGGCAGAGGCUGGGCCUGUACAUGCCCUCGGGAAGCAGGAGGCUGGGCCUGGAGAGGCCGACUUGAGAAAGUUUUGCUCCUGGAGAGGCCACUCAGAGGCAAGAGCUGGGUGUGAAGAGGCUGACUUGAGGUCGAUUUUGGCCUGUAGAAGCCACUGGUAGCUAGGAGUUGGCCCUGGAGAGGCCAAGUGGAGUAAGUUCAGGGCUUGGAGAGGAUGCACAAAAGGAAACGCUCAGCCUGGAAAGUGUGCUGUGAGGCAUUAGCUUGG